AGAGUUUGAUCCUGGCUCAGAUUGAACGCUGGCGGCACGCCUAACACAUGCAAGUCGAGCGGUAGCAUGGUGCAUAGCAAUAUGUACUGAUGACGAGCGGCGGACGGGUGAGGAACACGUAGGAACCUACCCUCAAGCGGGGGACAACCAAGGGAAACUUUGGCUAAUACCGCAUAAACUCGAAAGAGAAAAGCUGCCGCAAGGUGGCACUUGAGGAGGGGCCUGCGUCCGAUUAGCUAGUUGGUAAGGUAACGGCUUACCAAGGCGAUGAUCGGUAACUGGUCUGAGAGGACGGCCAGUCACACUGGGACUGAGACACGGCCCAGACUCCUACGGGAGGCAGCAGUGGGGAAUCUUGGACAAUGGGGGCAACCCUGAUCCAGCGAUGCCGCGUGAGUGAAGAAGGCCUUCGGGUCGUAAAGCUCUUUAGGUUGGGAAGAAGAAUAGUAGAGGAUAAUUCUAUUAUUUUGACUGUACUGACAGAAUAAGCACCGGCAAACUCUGUGCCAGCAGCCGCGGUAAUACAGAGGGUGCAAGCGUUAAUCGGAGUUACUGGGCGUAAAGGGCGCGUAGGCGGUUAGAUGAGUGUGAUGUGAAAGCCCCGGGGCUUAACCUGGGAAGCGCAUCGCAAACGAUGUAACUGGAGUAUAUGAGAGGGUGGCGGAAUUUCCGGUGUAGCGGUGAAAUGCGUAGAGAUCGAAGGAACGUCAAUGGCGAAGGCAGCCACCUGGCAUAAUACUGACGCUGAGGCGCGAAAGCGUGGGGAGCGAACAGGAUUAGAUACCCCCGUAGUCC
rnacentral:rRNA from 1 species